rnacentral:rRNA from 1 species
UACGUAGGGUGCAAGCGUUGUCCGGAAUUACUGGGCGUAAAGAGCUCGUAGGUGGUUUGUCGCGUUGUUCGUGAAAACUCACAGCUCAACUGUGGGCGUGCGGGCGAUACGGGCAGACUGGAGUACUGCAGGGGAGACUGGAAUUCCUGGUGUAGCGGUGGAAUGCGCAGAUAUCAGGAGGAACACCGGUGGCGAAGGCGGGUCUCUGGGCAACAACUGACGCUGAGGAGCGAAAGCGUGGGGAGCGAACAGG